rnacentral:lncRNA from 1 species
CCUUCAACUAAGGCUAGUUUCCAGGAGGGAGUAAUCCAGGGCCUCUUGGCUGCCAACAAUCCCAGUGACCAAGGAAGGAGUGUCUCAGGGUGUGUGGGUGGCAUCCAGCAAGAAUCUUUACCAUCCCUUAUUGUGCUAUUCAGAUCCAUUUGCUUCGUAUAAAUAUUUCAUCCCAUCAGAUAACUGCCCUUCCAAGGUUCUGUUUGCUUCACUUCCUGGAGAACUAAAGAGAGGAAGUUGAGUGGCAUAAACUACAGCCUCCUGCCUCUGAUGUUCAUCUCAGGAUACAAUUUAUACUCAUUUUUUUGGUCCUAUAUGGCUCAAUUUAGAUUUUCCACAUCCUCAGCUAGCAUCUCUGCUGGUCUGUGUUGAAAAUUUGAUAAAAUGACUCGAACCUUCAUUUUUGAAAGUUAGGAGCGCUUAUUAAUCAGCCAUGCCUUUUUAAGGACAUGUUUGUUGCAGUUGUCUAUUUACUGAUCAAAUAGGGCAGGCAGUAAAAAGAUGCUCCAGUGAAUCCUUUGGAUGUCUGGGUGUUCUUCCCUUCCCCAACUACAUCGCUUACUGUUGAACUUGACUCUUUCAUUCUUUUGUUUGUUUGUUUGUUUGUUUGCUUUUUAGGGCUACACCUGCGGCAUAUGGAAGUUCCCAGGCUAGAGGUUGAAUCGGUGCUUCAGCUGCCGCCCUGUACCACAGCCACAGCAAUUCAGGAUUUGACCGCCUCUGUGACCUACGACCUAUACCACAGCUCACAGCAACACCAGAUCCUUAACCCACUGAGCAAAGUCAGGGAUCAAACCCACAUAUUCAUGGAUACUAGUCAGGUUCAUUACUGCUAAGCCAUAAUGGUAACUUCCUGAACUUGACUCUUUCUAAGUCUCAUGGUAACCUAGGAUCUGAGGCACAGAGUCUAGAAUUGUUGGGGAAAAUGCAAAAACUUUCCAAAUAGGUCACAGAGAAUAACGCUAAGUAGGACUAUUACUUUUAUCUCUCAGUUCCUGAACCUAUGAAUUUCGCAUAUUGAGGACACAGUACUUAUUUAUUUAUUUAUUUUGUCUUUUGUCUUUCUAGGGCCGCACCCGUGGCAUAUGGAGGUUUCCAGGCUAAGGGGUCUAAUCGAAGCUGUUGCCACCAGCCUACACCAGAGCCACAGCAAUACCAGAUCCAAACUGUGUGUGCGAACUACACCAUAGUUCAUGGCAACACCAGAUCCUUAACCGGUGUUAAGCAAGGCAGGGAUCAAACCCACAACCUCAUGGUUCCUUGUCAGAUUUGUUUCCACUGUGCCGCGAUGGGAACUCCAAGAGCACAGUACUUUAUUAUAGCAGCUGAUUUACAGCAUACAUUCUGUUCUGAUUCUGUGGGCAGCUUCUGAAGCCUCCUUCAGUGAAUCAAAACUCUCUAAAUCCUCAGAUUACUUAGUAGCUAAGACUCUGUGAAUGGAAAAGGCAACUCUGCACCCCAAAUAUGUGUGAAUUAGUCAAGACGAAGUGCUGGAUCUUCAAGAGAUUCCAUCAGAAUUGAAAGAGGUACAAUGCAAUGAACUUGCCACCAGUGACAGGCUUCUUGAGGAGUAGUGUGGUAUCAGGGACAGCAUAAGUCUUUGUUUUUGGCAGAUUGUACUUCUGACAGUGGUGGAAACUAGACUGGCCUUUGUGAGUGGGAGUUCUGUGCAUAGCCUACAUUCCUGCCACCAGUGUGGCUAUAUUCACAUACCUAUGGUGUAGGCACUGGAGUAACUGGUAGUGAAGGCAGGUAAAAAUCAACUAGCUAUGUAAUUCAGUCUAGCUCCUUGGUCAGCCUCUUCCAUAGUAGCUAAACCCUCAUGGUUACUAACAUGCAAUAUGAAGGUUUUUACCUUUGUGCCUGUUUCCAUUGGUAUAUUCACAGCUUCUUUUCAGAUUUCCUUGUUCCAAUCUUUCAGUCUUUCUCCGUCCAGUCCCAAAAUUGGUAAACCAAGCCACUUGCCACUGUCAGUGAGUUAAUAUAUAUUAUUAUAUUAGGCUAUUUUUCUUUCUAUAUAAAGUGGCUCACCAAGCGCACUAUUUGAAGCCUUGCCCCCAUUUAGAUGAUUUCUUCUCACUACUAUCUUUAGCAACAUACCACAGUAUGGCAGUAGUACAAAAGCAAUUCAUUUUUGGCUUGUACCAACAUAUGCAGCUAACCUAUUCAUGAAUCAAUCUUAAAUAAAUUAUCGCCUCCUCUCUAUGCUGGUCACAAGGACUCCUAUGCAGCCUUGUGCGGAGAGGAAUAGAGAAAGUACACUAGUGGUAGAUGUCAUAGGGGUUUGUAAUAUCUGCAUAUGCAGCUAACUUCUGCCCUCUGGCCUUGUUCAUUCCAGUUUUCACAUGUGCUUCUUCCAUCUUAUGAUGGAUCACUGUGGCUCACCCAAAUGUAUGACUUGGAAGAAAUCAGCUCAUGAUGGUCAGUCUGGCUGCAUGGCCACUUGUGUCUCAUGAUGUUGCUCACUUCUCCCAAGAUGAGCUAACGUGCCAAAAACUAUUUGUCACAUGUUGAGACCCUGGCAUAACCUUUCUCCAGACCCCAAGGUUUUGUGUUGUGAUUCCGUUGCUGGGGCUUGUCAUGAUAUCAAAGGGAAUUUUCUAUCAUAGAUGUCUCAAAUUCCACUGGAUCUACAAAGUUGCAUAAACAAGGUAGCAGGGCUACUUGCCACACAGCCAAGACAUACGUCAGAAGCCUGUCCUGACCUGGACCCUAAAAUUGGCAGCCAUCUGUAUCUCUCAAAAGUGGUCAGAGAAUGUUUGUAAGAGUGAAAGGCACUGACUCCAGAAACUAAAGAGGCCAGCCAGUAAAGAGAGUCUUUAAAUACAGUUAUUUGUCUUUUACUUUGGAUGGUGAAGGACAGGUAUGUCCCUUCCUACUGAAUCCCUAAAAAGUUAAGUGAUUUGAUAGGACUGAAACUCUGUUGGUUUAUAUCCUACCAUCUGGAGUACAUGCGUUCUUACCAAGGCCUUCAAAGUUUGUCACUUCUUACUCAUCCAGUUUGAUUAAUGUAAUGUCAUAGAUACAUGAACCAAUGUAAUUUGCUGCUGGGUGUCCAAAUAGUGUAUACCCCUGAGAAUGAUGCUGUGCAGAAGGAAAGAAUAGGCAAGGGCAAGACUGUAAGCAUGUAACUUUACAAGUCUAACAUGAAUGCAAACUUCUUUAGAUUCUCCUUCCUGAUUGUGGUGGAAAAUAACUCAUUUGACAUAUACUGGUCAUAUACCAGCUACCUGAAGCCAGGCUGAUUUGCUCUACUAAAGACAGCACAAUUGGUACAGCACAGCUACUGAGGUUACGACUUGGGUGGAUUCUGCAUGGUCUGCUCUUAUCCUCCAGGGUAUUUCUUAUGUAGGUUAAACUGAUAAAGUAAGUGGAUAUAUGAUGUGGCUAUCACCCAGGCUAUCCUAUAAGCCAUUAAGAGUGAUAUGAAUGUUUUCCACUCACCUAAUAUGCACUGUUGUUUUCAACAUAACUAUAUUGGUUGGGGAUGUGAGGUGGGGGGUUGUUUUGGAGGCUUCCAAUUAGCCUUCCUCCAUGCUAGCUCUCUUCCUACAGGCUAGGGAAAAAAUACAGCAAACUCUCAACUACCAAGCAUGCCAUUAUACAUUCAGGGGCUUGAGAAAUGACCCAGAAAGGGUUUAUAGAUUUACUCUACCCACUGUGAGCUGACCCAACCCAAGACUUCAUUUAUUUCCUUACCCCAUAAUACCCACUGCAACAGGAGGGCUAUAAUGACACUUAGUCCCCAGGUAUAAGUGUCAGCCCAAUACCUGUUAAGGCUGUAUCAAACAUUUUCUUUCACUAAGGUACUACCUUAGUUCAGGCUCCUCUAGAAAAAUACCAUAAACUGGGUGGCUUAUACACAAGGACAUUUUUUGGGUUUUUUUGUUUGUUUGUUUGUUUUUACGGUUUUGGAGGCUAGAUGCCUGAGAUCAGGAUGCCAGUAUGGUUCAAUUUUGGUGAGCCCCCUCCUCCAGGAUGCAGGUGGCUGCCUUUUCAUUGUCUUUUUACCUGGUAGAGAGCAGAGAGAAGGAGCAAGAGCCCUGGGGACCCUUACAAUGCACUUACCACUCAUGAGGACUCUACCUUUACGAUAUCAUCUCAUUCUAAUUACCUUCCCAUCUCCUAAUACCAUCCCAUCGGGGGAUUAGGUAUCAGAAAUUUAAUUUGGGGUGAACACUAACAUUCAGUCCAUAGCAAGUAUGGUUAGCAAAGUACACGGCCCCUGAAUCAUUUGGGGAAGAAUUUGGUAAAUCAUAGUCAUUACUGUGGUAUUGCAUAGUCUUUUUCUUCUUGGGAACUGAUCCUCUUAUUCACCCAGUGGGUUCUGGGUCUAAAACUGGCCUGACAUCCAGAAUUUGCGCCAAGGAUCAUGAAUUUUCAUUGAGGUGAUGGCCUUCAACUUCCUCAUCUUCCAGUUUUCUUUUCUUUUGAAUAUAUAGAUUAAAUAAGCUUGUUGGCUACCACCUGUUUUGCUCCUAGCACCUCCACAUUCCAUACACCCAGGUAUCAGGUUACCCUGGAUGCCCUCCGAGCAUGCCCCACUUUUAACUAAUUGUGUCUACCUUGCUAAUAAUGGAUAAGCGUCAUCACCUGAAUUCUAUUAUUUUGCAAUCAUACUUUAUCCUUAUUGCUAUCAAGGAGUAACCACUUUUCAUAUCAUCAGCUCUGAACCCCAGGAGAAAGACACAGAUGCCUUCAUCAAUGAUUUCCAUUCCUUAUUGAUUUUAUAAACAGGCUGCAUUUGGGAUAUAUUUUUAAGAUAUAACCAAAGGGACUUAUGAGUUAUAUGUGGGAAAUGAGAAAAAGAGAUAAAUAAUGAUGACUACUGGAUUUUUGGCUCAAACAAUGAGAUUAAGUUGUAACUAUUUUAUCACCCACAUUGAAAACUGCAAGAGUAACCAGCAUGUGGAAGGGGAAACUGGAGAAACAUGGAAACUUGUAUAGGUGAAAUUUUAUUUAUUUAUUUAUUUGUUUAUUUAUUUAUUUAUUUAGUCUUUUGUCUUUUGGGGGCCACACCUACAGUAUAUGGAGGUUUCCAGGCCAGGGGUUGAAUCAGAGUUGUAGCUGCCAGCCCACACCACAGCCAUAGCAACUCGGGAUCCAAGCCGCAUCUGGGACCUACACCACAGCUCAUGGCAAUGCUGGAUCCUUAACCCACUGAGCGGUGCCAGUGAUCGAACCCAUGUCCUCAUGAAUAUUAGUUGGGUUCGUUAACCACUGAGUUACAACAGGAACUCCGGUGAAAUUUAUUUUUUGAUUUGAAGGUAAGACUUGGCAUUUGUAACCCUGCUACAUUUUCAGCAGCUUAUUUUUGGUCUGCCUGGUUAGCCUGACAUUAGGCUAACCAGGAAUAGGCUAAUUAGGAAAAUAAUCAUCUGUCUCCAGUUGGAGCUUACUUACCAGAGACUGACUCAGGAUCAAACCACCGUCUGGAAUGGUAAAACAUGAGGCAAAGGAACAAGUCAGGAUGCUUGGCACUCUUCCAUUUCUUCUUAUUUCUCAAUAUUCCAUAUGGCUCUGUUUCUUGGGCUGCUGGAAGCAGCUGCCUUUCAGGAUUUAACAUCUGCAUGGGGAAUCAUUUUGAGAAGGAGAUGGAGAAGGUACCACCCUUGCCAUUAUAAAUCAUGGAUUUUCAAGGAAAUUAGAUAAGACACAUCCCUGAAGAGCACACUCAACUAAAAAUGGCUCUAAUAUCAUUCAGGGCUAGAAAAUCUGAUCUCUGCUUGACUCAUUAAUGGAGUAGAUGGUUCCUCUUACUGCACUGCUACAGCUUCCCUGAAAGAAUUAACCAUCAGAUUGAAAUGCUAGUUUGUCAGCAAGCUUUCCUCACACUCUGAUUAUGGGGGAGACCGAGCCAGCUGCCUCAUUAAAAGCCUGGCUUUUAGACAGAGCAGAUUAUGUCAGAGAGCAGGAAAUAGUUACACCACUUUAUAAAUGGGAAAAUGAGGGAGUGAGAGGAAGUUUUGAUUUUUCUAAAUUCUUAUUGAAAAAUGCCAAAACUGUAAAAGAGGGUUACUGGCCAGUUGUGGGACCAGUUACAGGGAAAUUUGCCUGGUGUCACAGAAAAAUAUAGCAAAUAGAUUGACUCUGGCAGCACCUGUGUUCACUGGCAUGCUGAUAAGAUGAUUACAAUCAGAUUGAACGUAAGAUCCUACAGGCAGAGGCAGUUUUUAAUGGUCCAGCUCUCCACCUCUGAAAGGUUCAUUUCAGCCCAUUUAUAAAGGAUUACAUGGGAAAGAGCCUGGAAGCCCUUCAGCUUCCCUCAGCCUUUCCUCAGAUAAAUGUUGAAGCAACUUUCAAAUUCUCUUCAAGAUAUACUGAUUUCAUUUAUUUGGUUUUUUGUUUAUUUAAGUUUUCUUUUCUGGUGUACUAGAGAACUGAGUCUCAAUUUCUCUGACACUUUGAGUUCUCCUACAUUUAGUGGUUUCUUGCAUCAUAUGGUGAUACUUUCUAAUUUAGAAAAAUUUUAAAUGGAAAGAACCUCUCCAAAGCUGUCAAACUCAGACCCUUAAAUUAUCUGAGAUGGUUAGUCAAAAAGUGCCAUUCUCAGAGGAUAAAGCCUCAGUCAAUUAAUACAUUUUGAGGAGGAAAUAGAUGGUAGCUAAACACUGGGAGUUGGGCAAUUAGGAUUAGAAGAAAUUUUUCCUCAUUAUGUGCAGUGCUAUUUACUUUAUAUACAUUUUAAAAAUCCUAUAUUAAAUAAUUAAAGAGCAACUGAGAAGCAGUUAGGUCAAGAGAUAUAUCAGCAGAAGUGGUUAUUCUUUGGAAGUUGUGGUAGAGAGAAUAGUAGUUGCCCAAAGAUGUCCUCAUCCCCAUCUCCAUCUGUGAAUAUAUUACUUUCCAUGAUGAAAGGAACAUUGCAGGUAUAGUUGAAGUUGAGGGCUUUGAGAUGGGGAGAUUAUCCUGGAUUAUCUGCAUGGAUCCAAUUUAAACACAUGAGUCCUUAACAUGGACACCUUUCUGCCUGGAUCAGAAAGAGCUGUGACAAUAGAGGAAGGGUCAGAGAGAUGUUAUUUUGCUAGUUUUAAAGAAGAAUAAGAAUAAGGCUAGGACCAGGGAAUGCAAGUAACCUCUAAAACCUGACAAAGGCAAGAAAAUGAUUUCUCCCCUAGAGUUUCCAGAAAGGAACCCAGUUUUUCAGACACCGGUGAGACCUUGUUGGAUUGCUAACUUCUAGAACUGUAAGGUUAUAAAUGUGUACUGUUUAAGCUACUGGAUUUGUGGCAGAUUGUUAGAA